CGGCGGGCCGGACGGCCUGGUCCGCUUCGUCGAUGCCUGCCACGCAAAGGGUUUGGGCGUCUUGAUCGACGCGGUGUUCAACCACUUCGGCCCGUCGG
rnacentral:tRNA from 1 species